UCCCGGCCUGGCUUGGCACCCUGGGGUUGCGGCGCGCGGGUGGCACUGUGUCCGGUGGGACUGCGGCCGGCCUGCCAGCCUCGUCGGUGACCAGCGCCCGGGAACGUACCGGCUAAUACGGGACUUUUUCGUUUUCUGUUUUUAACUGGAAGCGGUAGUGGUUAAAUUUUGAAAAAUCAAGGGGAAAAGAAAAGGGCUUACGGAAAGUAAAGUAAGAACUAGAGCUAACUCUUCAGCGGCUACUUUGUGCUUAGAAUCUCACACACAUGUCAGAAGGAGCCUUCGGGGUUUUCUAAGCUAAGGAUGAUUUUUCAGUGAGCUGGGAUGGAGAGAGGUGGGGGCUGCACAGAAGGAGCACUGGGGAUAACUCCCACUUAUCCUUCAGGUUUGCAGCAGUAUCACAUUUUCAAGGAAACUGUGCAAUCCCUGUUCCAGACACAGGCUUGGUGCUUUUCCUCUGGGUCCCCUCAGCGUCUGUGCAGACUGUAGAAUUGGAUUGACCACACUAUAGUGGGAUCACCUUCUUUCUGGCUCCUGCAAUCUGCAUGAGAAGAACAUGCCAUAGGCAGCCAGUGGGACUUCUUUUUCCUGGUCCCAGGAUCACAUACAAGAAACCAACCUGAUCAUGGGCCACCCUGCGUGCAACUGAGCCCAGCCAAUUCACUGCUGAUCUGCAGACUAAUGAGAGAAAAUACCAGCACUUAAUCUUGACGCAGGCUCUGUUUUCUGGAGAACCCAAGCUAAGACAUAGACCCAGACAGAUCAUGGCAUGAUGAAGAUGAUAAAAAUGGUGAUUAUGAUGAUGUCCCCCAAUACUUAUUGAUGACCACUUACUAGAGGCAGCUCACUGUAUAGAAAAAUAGAGGACUAAAAAUAGGUGGACUUGAAUGCGCCCUUGAGUUUUCCACCAAUAGCCUUAUGAUUUUGGGAAAGUCAGCCUGGGCUUGGGCUUCAGAUACAUCAUCUAUAAAAUGCAAAGUUUGUUGAAGA